GACAGGAAGUGGGUGUGUCCUACAAGGGAGUAGCUGCAACAGGAAGUGACCACAAUUAGGCCAGCCAGACAUCAACCGCAUAACAUUCGUUCUUGUUCUUCUCCUGUGAGCAUUUCUAUGUCAUCUACUGCAAGUUCUGGGAGCUCGACCUGGACGGCGACCUCGCCAUAGACUGCCAUCUCUUCCUGGAUGAUAGACUGCGUCUUCUCUCUCCGGUGCUGUCACCCAGUGAGCAGCCUGGGAGGUCGGAUCACGCUUUGUGGCCUGAAGCGCUUGAGCCUGGCAGGUGCCUGGAGGGGUUCUUCCCUCAAGUCUGAGAUGACAGCAGCACAGCAAAGAUAAGAGGCUACAUAAAAUAAGG
rnacentral:lncRNA from 1 species